rnacentral:rRNA from 1 species
UGGGGAAUUUUGGACAAUGGGGGAAACCCUGAUCCAGCCAUCCCGCGUGUGCGAUGAAGGCCUUCGGGUUGUAAAGCACUUUUGGCAGGAAAGAAACGUCAUGGGUUAAUACCCCGUGAAACUGACGGUACCUGCAGAAUAAGCACCGGCUAACUACGUGCCAGCAGCCGCGGUAAUACGUAGGGUGCAAGCGUUAAUCGGAAUUACUGGGCGUAAAGCGUGCGCAGGCGGUUCGGAAAGAAAGAUGUGAAAUCCCAGAGCUCAACUUUGGAACUGCAUUUUUAACUACCGGGCUAGAGUGUGUCAGAGGGAGGUGGAAUUCCGCGUGUAGCAGUGAAAUGCGUAGAUAUGCGGAGGAACACCGAUGGCGAACGCAGCCUCCUGGGAUAACACUGACGCUCAUGCACGAAAGCGUGGGGAGCAAACAGG